UCCCUCAGACUCACCAUUCUGGAAAAGAUGCCAGUCUGCAAAAUGAGCAUAUUGACAGUGAAAAAAAGCAAAAACAAGGCAAAGGGCAACAAGUAUCUUUAAACUUAGUGGAGGAGAACGAGGAGCAGAUUUGCAAGCCACAGUCCGCAUGCUCUGUAGAGGGUGUUAUAUUCUAAGCAGCUCUUUGUUGGCGCCACUCCAAGUCCACUUGUACUGCUUUACCUUAUUGUUUUCAGUGUCUGCAGAGUAUUCCAAGAUGUGAGGUCAACGCAAUAUAUUCAGCUACUUCUCUUUUGAUGGGCAAUUCUUUGUCUUUAGGUUUUAUUUCUGUUUGCUUGCUUUCAGUCAUUACAAGCAAGACUUUCAUAAACACCCUCACACAUAUUUCAGAUCGCCAGCAGUGAUUGUUGUCAAGAGUUUUGUACAAAACGUGCACCCAUGUUAUAAAAUGUUAUAAAAUAAAUAU